ensembl:lincRNA
GUUACUUACAGAGUUUAAAAUUAAUUUGCUGAUGGCUUGAACAAAUACAUCUUUUAUCCCAGGUAUGUCAUUUUGAAGACUGACAUUGCACUUUUAUCCUUGAGGAUUAAGGAGAUCUUUGGGAAAGUCUGUAUUUUAUCUAAAGAAUGACUCCCCAGACGGAACAAUCUAAAGGACUCAUACAGCAUAGUAAUCAUUGGUGGAAACAUUUACACCCAGUCAGCUUGAAGAGUCUCAAAUGGACCUUACCACUGAGAAAUCAAGAUGGCAGUCCACUAUGGGGACAUGAGGAAAAUGGAUUAAUACAAGAGUGCUGUGAUAAUACACAACCAAGACAGGGUUCUUUUAACAUGGAUUCCAUGAAAUGAAUGAAUGAAGAUAUAGGUUUCUUACCCAACACAAAUGGACAAUGGAUUUGACUUUCAAAAAACUUUUGUAUCAUUAAAACCAGUGCAUUUGUGACCUUGGAGAAGACAGCACGGUAGUUUGUAUGUUUGGAAUUUUUUGCCUUUUGAUUUGUUUUGAGCAUGACCUCAUGGAAUGUUAACUUUAAUAAAAUUUCUAACACUUAAAAAUUUCUCAGUUUGGGCCUUUUUUUUUUUUUUUAAAGUAGAAGUCUUAUAUGUUCAGUUACUGCCUUAUUAACACUUUGACUUUUACAGUUGCCCAACAGUAAAGUAUAGUGAAUAAAGCUGGUAAAAUGAAAAUGGUGUGCUGGAAAAUGUUUUAUUUGGCUGAUUAAGAUUUAAUGUUUUUGACUAAGCUUUACAAAUUUAUUUGUUCUUUGGGAUGGUCAUUUGAUUAAAAUGUGAUUUUGUGUUUAUAUGUUUUGGGUGAAUUCCUUGAAUUUCUAUUUUUUUAAACACUUUGCAAAACAAGUUAAUCAAUGGAUAAUCAGAGAAUAUUCAGUGUGCCAUCAUAUUUUAGUAAGCUUUUGAAACAGUGUUUGUUGCCCUCAAACUCAGUUAUUUCUCUCUGAAUUAUCCUUUGUUGAUUGAAAUGGUCCCUUUACCUUCGCUUUUUAAUAUUACAAAUAAAACAUCUUGCAAUAGAAUAUUCAUCUAAAUAUUUAAGUUAAACUGAUGUCUCAUUGUCUUAAUAUUGGGGGAAGAUGUGUUGGAUUUAUAGGGAAGUGUCUUUAGGGUCUAUACAAAAAGACGUUAAAUAGUUUGUGGUAAUGUGUAUAAUACAGUUUAUGUACAUUUCAAACAGGAUUGGUAUCUUGUGUCUUAUUGUUACAAUUGGUUAUUUAAAAUGAAUCACCAUGCCAUAUUAUUACCUGUGUUUGAAUUUCAAGUACCAUGUUCUCAUUUGUUGCUGAUAACUAAUAAUAGUUUUAGUUACUAUAAUAUUAUUAAGUUGAUAUGCUUUAUUUUGAUAGAACAAAUGAAUCAUUGAUCAUAUUUUCUCAUAGCAGAAUGAAGAAUAGUUCAAGUUAAUUUUUUUUGUUAGAAAUAGAUACAGGGUUUGUGAUUAAUGUCAAAUAUAAUAGUGGACAAAUCUAUGGUCAAUAUUCAUGUAGUAUUUGUUCUGAUUGAUUGAUAUGAGGGGCUGUUUGAUCUUUGUGUAUGUUCCAAAGUGCAAUGUGGAUUUUGAUUUUGAUACUGAAGUUUUUGUAGAAUUGAAGGAGUUUUAAUUGUGGAUUUUAUGUUUAUCUAGAUUCAGCAUUGUUGUUUUUGUUGGUUGUAAAUCUAAAAUGGAUUUCUGUAGUGAGGGAAGGACAUGGUUCUGACAAAAAUAUAAUUUUGAGUAAGGAAAGUUGAGUGGAUUUGUUUUUUUUAAAGGAGACAUGAAUAUGUUGUCUGCAUGGAUGCUUGAUGAGAUCAUUGACUAAUAGUUUUUGACAACAGUAAUAAUUUUGUUUCUUUAGAUCUUAUGGUUUUGAUCUUUAGGAGACUGCUCUGUGACAUUACCUUGAUAACUUGCCAUCAGAUCUGAUCUAUUGUUAAUAACCUAUCAUUGUUGAGAUGAGUAUACACUUAACAUUUGUAUAUUAUUGAAGUAAUAAGGAAAUGGUUGGGAGAUGUGUAUGUUCUGUUGAUGUUUGGAAAUGGAGUUUCUUGGGUUU